GCGCGCGUAGCUCAAUGGCGGAGCAUCCGGCUUAUAUCCGGCAGGUUGCGGGUUCGAAUCCUGCCGCGCGCA
rnacentral:tRNA from 1 species